AUGCACGCUGGCGGCGUGCUUAACACAUGCCAGUCGAACGGAAAGGCCACAGCUUGCUGUGGUACUCGAGUGGCGAACGGGUGAGUAACACGUGGGUGAUCUGCCCUGUACUUCGGGAUAAGCUUGGGAAACUGGGUCUAAUACCGGAUAGGAAUCACAUGUGGGUGUGUGGUUGGAAAGCUUUUGCGGUAUGGGAUGAGCUCGCGGCCUAUCAGCUUGUUGGUGGGGUAAUGGCCUACCAAGGCGUCGACGGGUAGCCGGCCUGAGAGGGUGUACGGCCACAUUGGGACUGAGAUACGGCCCAGACUCCUACGGGAGGCAGCAGUGGGGAAUAUUGCACAAUGGGCGCAAGCCUGAUGCAGCGACGCCGCGUGGGGGAUGACGGCCUUCGGGUUGUAAACUCCUUUCGUCAGGGACGAAGCGAAAGUGACGGUACCUGGAUAAGAAGCACCGGCUAACUACGUG
rnacentral:rRNA from 1 species